UUGAAAGGGAAACGAUUGAAGUCAGUCGUACCUAUGGGUAAUCAGCCUUUUGGGUGUGAUUUUGUGGAGUGUGAAGAGUUAAACGCCUUUAUGCCUGCAUAUUCGUGCACUUUGGGUGUAUUUACCCGUGUGGUAAGUUAACAUCAAUUUUGGUGGUCAUAAAAUGGCUGGAGGAAUGUAGCUUCGAUCUCGUAUUGAAGUGUUAUAGCCUUCGGUAGAUGUGAUUAUCGGGAUUGAGGAUUGCAACGGAUACCCUUCGGGGCUACCUGUCUGAUCUCUGAUCGUUGCUCUGGUGCCGAAAGCUUGCUUACGGUUAUCAAAGUCGAUGGUCAAUAGGUUAGAACGGGUUAAAUUCGUUAAGGAUGUUGACGUA
rnacentral:rRNA from 1 species